UACAGAGGUCCCGAGCGUUGUUCGGAUUUAUUGGGCGUAAAGGGUGCGUAGGCGGCGGAGUAAGUUGGGUGUGAAAUCCCGGGGCUCAACCCCGAAACUGCACUUGAUACUGCGGUGCUCGAGUACUGGAGAGGAGAUUGGAAUUUACGGUGUAGCAGUGAAAUGCGUAGAUAUCGUAAGGAAGACCAGUGGCGAAGGCGAAUCUCUGGACAGUUACUGACACUGAGGCACGAAGGCCAGGGGAGCAAACGGG
rnacentral:rRNA from 1 species